rnacentral:lncRNA from 1 species
GGGCAGAAGGAGCUCUGAAGUGGACCUCUCGAUUAAUUCUUUAGCAAAGGCUGCAGAAAGCCAGGAGAGCCUCAAGAGGGGAGGGGAUAAUGUAUCCGUGACGUGUCCUCCCUCGCAGCGCCCUCCGAGGGACCCAAAUCCAGAGGAGCCGGCGCGGAGCUUCAAUCAGCGCUUGCGAGGGGACGGGAGGCCGGCCCGGGGGGAGCCGGGGGCGGGGGCCGCAGAGCCCCUUACCCCUCUCUGCCCUUCUCGGUCACCCCGAGGGGGCUCUUUGUCCCACCCCACCCGGGUCACAGCUGCCACGGGGGGUGCGACACGCGUGGGGCUCCUUCCCCAGCCCCCAAAAGCCACCCGAGACUUUCCCCCGUUGUUGUGGCGCUGGGUAAAGCGCACCUGGGCACUCACACAGGUACGCGCGGCCUCAGCGCACAUUUACACCCUGUAAAUAAUCGCUAUUUUACGUAUUACACGUGUAUACACAAAAAUAUCUACACGGGGCCCCCGGUAGAUGCGGAGGAGGGGGCAGAGCUCCGUGGGAGCCGCUGAGCCGGGCUUAACCCCGGAGCUGCCGGAUCAGCGCUCGGCGGAGGAUGGAGCGGGCACCUCUGCAGAGCUCGUCACUAAAGCCGUGCCUGGGCUCUUUCCUCAUGUCCUGAGUGAGGGAAUUAAACCGGGACUGAGUCACUAAAGCCGUGCCUGGGCUCCUUCCUCAUGUCCCGAGUGAGGGAAUUAAACCGGGACUGAGCCGAGCCCGGCCGGGUUUAACCCGACGGGGGCUGCUUUUGGGGACAAAGCCCCACGAUGCGUCCCGGACACGCGUGGGGAUUAAAGCAGCAAGGAAAGAGGGAAGGGAGGGACAGGCAGAGCCCGGCGAGACGCGGCUCCACACCCAGGGCUCCGAGGGGGAUGGGACACACAAUGCACCGGUCCUUAAUAUUAAUCCCGCCAGAGGCCCGGCCGGCGGGCGAGUGUGUUUGCUUAAGCUCGCCCGGCCCUCUGUAAUUAUCCCAUUAGAGCAGAAAGAGCCCGGGCCGGGCACGGCGAGGGAAAGGCCGCGCUCUUUAACCCCGCGGCCGGGCCAGCGCAGCCCCCGGGAUGGCGAGCGGGGGCACCGCGGCACCUCCGGCUGCAGCAGCGGGCGAGAGGAGCCCCGAAGGGUUCCGGGACAAACCCGCACGGCCUCUGCUCCCAAAUCCAUCCCCUCCUGCCUCAGUUUUUACUGA